AUGUCGGAACCAACACCGAUCCAGGGCGCGAGGGGGCAGGGGGAAGAGAAGGAGGAGAGGACGGAGAUUGGAUCGGGGUCAUCAGCAGGCGAUGCAAGGCGCGUUCCUAGCGCGGUACUAGAGGAGGAGGAGAGGGAUGAAGUUGCGGGAGAAGUUCAUGGGGAGGAAGGAGAGGAUUGUGAAGGCUAUGGACCAGAACCAGAUCUGCAAGAUCAAUUUGCCGGACUAAAACUGCAUGGUGAGGAAGAGGAUGAUCUGGAUCUCUCGGGAGAGGUUGAAGAGCUUGUCAAGGAUGUAAGAUGGCUCGGGCUUUUUAGGGUUCAUACUACUAAACCCUUCGGCCAUGCCGCUCUGUUGAACCAGAUGAGAAACGCUUGGGCAGCGGCAAAGGGCGUGACCUUUAGUGUCAAGGGACCUAAUCUAUUCUUAGUCCAGUGCCAUUGUCUUGGAGAUUGGAAGCGUAUAAUGGAUGGGGGGCCGUGGCUGUUUCGUAGAGCGCUGGUCAUUAUCGUCGAGUACAACGGGUUCACGGAUGUAUCAGAAUAUAGGCUGAAUAAGGUGCCAGUUUGGGCGCGGAUCAAGGGUUUACCAGAUGGCAUGACGGCAAAGAAGGAAUUAGCGGAGAAGGUAGCAGCUAAAGUGGGAGGCCCACCAUUCACGGUGGUAGUCACCGAAGGAGUGAUCAAUCCUAGCGGCACCCUGAGAGCUAGGGUUUUUCUUGAUGUUGAGAAGCCGCUGGUUAGGUUUGUCCCGAUUACACUGUGA
rnacentral:rRNA from 1 species